AGCGAACGCUGGCGGCAGGCUUAACACAUGCAAGUCGAGCGGGCACUUCGGUGUCAGCGGCAGACGGGUGAGUAACACGUGGGAACGUACCCUUUGGUUCGGAAUAACGCUGGGAAACUAGCGCUAAUACCGGAUACGCCCUUUUGGGGAAAGGCUUGCUGCCGAAGGAUCGGCCCGCGUCUGAUUAGCUAGUUGGUGGGGUAAUGGCCUACCAAGGCGACGAUCAGUAGCUGGUCUGAGAGGAUGAUCAGCCACACUGGGACUGAGACACGGCCCAGACUCCUACGGGAGGCAGCAGCGGGGAAUAUUGGACAAUGGGCGCAAGCCUGAUCCAGCCAUGCCGCGUGAGUGAUGAAGGCCUUAGGGUUGUAAAGCUCUUUUGUCCGGGACGAUAAUGACGGUACCGGAAGAAUAAGCCCCGGCUAACUUCGUG
rnacentral:rRNA from 1 species